rnacentral:lncRNA from 1 species
CACGAGCAAAACCAUCUUUAAUAUCUACAAUCACCACUCGCAACAUAUCAUCUUUAAUAGUCUCAUGGUGGAUGGUGCUUCCCAAAUUAUAUAUUUUACCUGAGACAAAAAGUAGAUGACAAUUGUUGAGUACAACUAGAUAGAAAACUUAUUUUUAGGUCAAUUCUGCACAACCAAGAAUUAACAUGUACACAAGAUCCAAUGCAAUAGAACUAAUAAUAUACGUAGAUAUGAAUCUAUGAAAUCCUAUACUAAACUCAAAGCAUCAGUACUUACUGUGCAAACGACUUUAAGGGCAAUUGCUUCCCUUAAAGCAAUUGUUAAAGAAACUCAAAGCAUCUGUUUGUAUUGUGGGAGACAAAAAAAAGAACCAAACAAAGGAACAUCUAAGUCAU